rnacentral:rRNA from 1 species
AAACUUUCAACAAUGGAUCUCUUGGUUCCGGCAUCGAUGAAGAACGCAGCGAAAUGCGAUAACUAAUGUGAAUUGCAGAAUUCAGUGAAUCAUCGAGUCUUUGAACGCACAUUGCGCCCCCUGGUAUUCCGGGGGGCAUGCCUGUCCGAGCGUCAUUGCUGCCCU